AUUACUUUGGCAGAAUAGUGUAUUAAAUUUAGAAUUUAAUUAUGUAUAUUAUAUAUACAAGUAAUA
rnacentral:tRNA from 1 species